rnacentral:misc_RNA from 1 species
AAGUCGUAACAAGGUUUCCGUAGGUGAACCUGCGGAAGGAUCAUUAAGGAAUGCAUGUCGGCCCUCGGCCUUCAUACACUUUCUUUGUCUACUACACAAACACACGCUGUGUACACCAAGUCGAGAAACAUACUAAAGCUUAAACAACUUUUAACAAUGGAUCUCUUGGCUCUC